AACUAACGCUGGCGGCGUGCCUAACACAUGCAAGUCGAACGAGAAAGUUGGCUUCGGCCGAUGAGUAAAGUGGCGCACGGGUGAGUAACGCGUGGAUAAUCUGCCCUUAAGUUCGGAAUAACGUACCGAAAGGUGCGCUAAUACCGGAUAAUACUGAGUGACUACUGUUGCUUAGUCAAAGAAGGCUUCUGUUUACAUGCUUUUGCUGAAGGAUGAGUCCGCGUACCAUUAGCUAGUUGGUAGGGUAAUGGCCUACCAAGGCGACGAUGGUUAGCUGGUCUGAGAGGAUGAUCAGCCACACUGGAACUGAGACACGGUCCAGACUCCUACGGGAGGCAGCAGUGAGGAAUAUUGCGCAAUGGGGGCAACCCUGACGCAGCAACGCCGCGUGAGUGAGGAAGGUUUUCGGACCGUAAAGCUCUGUCGAGCGGGAAGAAAUGUGUCAUGGCUAAUAUCCAUGAUGCUUGACGGUACCGCUAAAGG
rnacentral:rRNA from 1 species